CUACUACUCCCUCCGUCCGAAAAUACUUGUCAUGGAAAUGGAUGUAUCUAGAUGUAUUUUAGUUCUAGACACAUCCAUUUUGAUGACAAGUAAUUCCGGACGGAGGGAGUAUUAU
rnacentral:pre_miRNA from 1 species